UACGUAGGGUGCAAGCGUUGUCCGGAAUUAUUGGGCGUAAAGAGCUCGUAGGCGGCUUGUCGCGUCGGCUGUGAAAACCUGAGGCUCAACCUCGGGCUUGCAGCCGAUACGGGCAAGCUAGAAUUCGGUAGGGGAGACUGGAAUUCCUGGUGUAGCGGUGAAAUGCGCAGAUAUCAGGAGGAACACCGGUGGCGAAGGCGGGUCUCUGGGCCGAUAUUGACGCUGAGGAGCGAAAGCGUGGGGAGCGAACAGG
rnacentral:rRNA from 1 species